GAUGAAGAACGCAGCGAAAUGCGAUACGUAAUGUGAAUUGCAGAAUUCAGUGAAUCAUCGAAUCUUUGAACGCAUAUUGCGCUCUCUGGUAUUCCGGAGAGCAUGCUUGUUUGAGUAUCAGUAAACACCUCAACUCCCCUUUCUUUUUUUGAAAUGGGAGCUGGACUUGAGUGAUCCCAACGCUUUUCUCACCGAAAAGUGGCGGGUUACUUGAAAUGCAGGUGCAGCUGGACUUUUCUCUGAGCUAAACGCAUAUCUAUUUAGUCUGCCUAAAAAACAGAUUAUUACCUUUGCUGCAGCUAACAUAAAGGAGAUUAGUUCUUGUGCUGACUGAUGCAGGAUUCACAGAGACAGCUUCGGCUGGCCUUUGUAAACUCGAUCUCAAAUCAAGUAAGACUACCCGCUGAACUUAAGCAUAUCAAUAAGCGGAGGA
rnacentral:misc_RNA from 1 species